UGGGGAAUAUUGCACAAUGGGGGAAACCCUGAUGCAGCGACGCCGCGUGAGUGAGGAAGUAUUUCGGUAUGUAAAGCUCUAUCAGCAGGGAAGAAAAUGACGGUACCUGACUAAGAAGCCCCGGCUAACUACGUGCCAGCAGCCGCGGUAAUACGUAGGGGGCAAGCGUUAUCCGGAUUUACUGGGUGUAAAGGGAGCGUAGGCGGCUGUGUAAGCCAGAAGUGAAAGCCCGGGGCUCAACUCCGGGACUGCUUUUGGAACUACAUGACUUGAUUGCAGGAGAGGCAAGUGGAAUUCCUAGUG
rnacentral:rRNA from 1 species